rnacentral:lncRNA from 12 species
CUUGGAUCAUUUUAUCACUUAACUUUUUAUGAGUGUGUAGCUCUUCUUAACCAGCCAUUAAGUUCAUUCAGAAAUCACGAAUUUUAGAACUGUCUUAUGUUCCCUCUAAUAUCCAGCCCAUUGUUGUCUCUACAGGACCUUCAUCACUGAACACUUGUGAAAUAAGGGUAGGUCUGUGCUCAUGCUGUUGGACACUGGCAGCAGGGCCGAUCCCUCUGCAUUCACAGCCCUCCCACUCACUGCCUUUGGCCAGCCUACCCUCAUUGCCGUGUCCCGCUUGCCCCCGCUUGAUGAAAACAGCUUUCAGGAUCUGCCUCGAAGUGAGUGAGACCACUUUGUUAACAACGUCACCGCCUUUAGAUUUGCAAUCCUCUACCUGACUUUUGCAAGGCCAAUAAACCAAACAGUUGAUAAUACUUGGAAGUGGAU